AGCAAAGCGCACAGAAAAAUAAAGUGCGUGUACAUUGUUGAACAAGCCUUUCGCCAGAGUUGUAACCUCGAUUAGAAACCUACCACAACACAGUAGUUUAGCUGCUAACGUAACUUUUUAUACAACUCAUGUGAGCAACGCGCAUUUCGCUCGGCGGCCAAGUUAGCUAGGGUAUCCGGCGCAUAUAAUAACGGCGCAUUGCCCGAAGGGGAGGCGCUAUGAAGUGC
rnacentral:lncRNA from 1 species